GUGGCUGCAAAAAUGUAUAUAUA
rnacentral:siRNA from 1 species